UCAUUGCAAAGUAAAAUAACAAAUUCAAUUUAUAAUUUUAUUUAUUAUAAAAUUAGUUAUUAUGUGAAGACUCGAAUUUGAGUUUGAAUUUGAAACUCGCGAGUAAUUUGUGUGACGCCCCCAAAAUAGGUAUACACAACUCAUUCUGAGUCGCCAAAUAUAUGGUACAGAAUACAAAUACAAACUUAAUUAUACAACUGUCGUGUAAUAUAAACUGAAAGUUUUAACACGCAUAUUGUCUCAUAGACAAUAUCCAAACUCAAAUAGAGUCUUCAUUACAAUUAUUAUCACACUAUUUCACAGAAUAGUGAGAACUACUAUAACAACCAUCUGGACCGUUACUCCAUUUCCCGACUAGUCCCAAUUAUAUUCUCAUUUCCUGAAAAAAACAAUGAAAGAAAAAUGUGAGCUCAACUAGCCCAAUAAAUAAUAUUACGACUAAGAUAAUGCAGAAUAAAUUAUCGUUAACCUUCAACAGUGUUAAACUGAUAGAAUAUAAUAGACAACAAGUUUAACUGCAGCAAAACAAACAAUUCAUUGAAAAUACACACCUAUUAAAAAAAUAUUAAUCUUCAAUUUACUCAUCUUAACUAUUUUAUUAUCAUCCAUUUUGUUUUAUUUAAUCUCCUAACUUUUCUUGAAACAACAAAAUAGAGAAGAAAGGAGAAAAAAAAAUAUGAUUAUGCUUCUAAUAUCAAAAUUAAUAAUGUUAUUUUUUUAAUAUAUGUCAUGUUAUUUUUAAUGUUUUUUUAAAAAUUUAAUAAGAGUAAUAUUGAAAAAAUAAGAUUAAAAAUAAAUUUAAAUAAACCAAAAAAACAAUUAAAAUAAAUAAACUUAAUCAGAGAAAGUAAUUUGUUACCCAAUAAAAUUACAUUAAAUUCUAUUUUAAAAUUAAAAAUAUAAUUUGACAUUAAAGUCAAACGAUUUUAAACUUUAAAUUAGUAUAAAUUUAUUUAAUUUUAAUUAAUAUAAUUAUUAUAACAAAAAUUAUUAAUCAUAAAUUUAUUUCAUUCACUUUUAUGUGUUAUUUUAAUUUUAUAAUUUAAUAUACAUAUCUCUAAUUUGAAAUGGGAGUUCAUACUAACAUAUAGAUUAUCAUAAAAUCAACUUCAUAAUAAAAUAAUUAAUUGACCAAUAUAAAAUAUAAUGCUCCAAUUAUUAUAAAAUUAACCUAAUAAUAAAAUAAUUAAUUUACCAAUCUAUAUAAUUCUAUAUAAUAAAAUACAAAUAAUUUUAAAUUUUCCGUUAGCCGGCUGAUAUAUAAUAUAGCGAUUACACGCAAAGGAACAACUCCCGACCUAAAUGUGCCACUGUACCCUAAUAGAUCUAGAUUUAUAUGAAACAUCCGAGACACAUUAUAGAAAAUCAGUGCACAAAACAUAGUAUAUUCAAUACAAACACAGCAAAACAUAGCAGUAAAGGUAUCAAACAGCACAAAUAGGAAAUGAAUUACUAGAACUACUAUUAAAUAAAUGGCUAUCAAAUCUAGAUCUGAAACCAAAAACCAAACCAAAUCAUAAAUCUCUAGAUACAUGUAUAUACUCUAUAAGAUCGUCAUCAUCAUCAUCAUCAUCAGUGGUCACAAACCGACUAGCUGAUAAGAAAAAACUACUCUCUUCUCUUCAGAACUUGAGUGCAGAUCCGAAGAGGAAAGCGACGAACGUGAAAGCACAACCGACGGCGAACGACGGAGAAACAGAUAUUGCCGAAGACGUAGGGCUCGGAGCCGGAGCCGGAGCAUCGGAUGCUACAGAGGUUCCGACGAGGGAGAAGACGGUGGCGAUCACCGCCAUUAGAGGAAUUAAGGUAGCUGUGGAAUGAGAGACUGCCAUUUCUCUGCUGAAAGAGUUUGAGAUCUGAAGUUCAGAGAAACGUUUCAAGAGGAAAGUGAAAGUUGAAUGGGUGAAGGGAGGGAGUUUAUAAGGAGAGGACAACUGUGACGGGCAGGGCAGUUGGGGCGGUCAGGUGCCCAAGUAUUUACAGGCUGGAGAUGGAAACUAGGUAGUUGACAGCUAAUUGACUACAUCAUUCCCAUGUGAAAAUCUCCAUCCAUGUUCGCCCCCGCACGAUAUGAGAUGACACCUCACCGCACCCAAAACCCA
rnacentral:lncRNA from 1 species